rnacentral:rRNA from 1 species
CAAGUCGAGGGGCAGCAUGGUCUUAGCUUGCUAAGGCUGAUGGCGACCGGCGCACGGGUGAGUAACACGUAUCCAACCUGCCGUCUACUCUUGGCCAGCCUUCUGAAAGGAAGAUUAAUCCAGGAUGGGAUCAUGAGUUCACAUGUCCGCAUGAUUAAAGGUAUUUUCCGGUAGACGAUGGGGAUGCGUUCCAUUAGAUAGUAGGCGGGGUAACGGCCCACCUAGUCAACGAUGGAUAGGGGUUCUGAGAGGAAGGUCCCCCACAUUGGAACUGAGACACGGUCCAAACUCCUACGGGAGGCAGCAGUGAGGAAUAUUGGUCAAUGGGCGAUGGCCUGAACCAGCCAAGUAGCGUGAAGGAUGACUGCCCUAUGGGUUGUAAACUUCCUUUAUAAAGGAAUAAAGUCGGGUAUGCAUACCCGUUUGCAUGUACUUUAUGAAUAAGGAUCGGCUAACUCCGUGCCAGCAGCCGCGGUAAUACGGAGGAUCCGAGCGUUAUCCGGAUUUAUUGGGUUUAAAGGGAGCGUAGAUGGAUGUUUAAGUCAGUUGUGAAAGUUUGCGGCUCAACCGUAAAAUUGCAGUUGAUACUGGAUGUCUUGAGUGCAGUUGAGGCAGGCGGAAUUCGUGGUGUAGCGGUGAAAUGCUUAGAUAUCACGAAGAACUCCGAUUGCGAAGGCAGCCUGCUA